rnacentral:rRNA from 1 species
CGCCCGUCGCUCCUACCGAUUGGGUGUGCUGGUGAAGUGUUCGGAUUGGCAGCCCGGGGCGGUUCCCGCUCUGGGUUGCCGAGAAGUUCAUUAAACCCUCCCACCUAGAGGAAGGAGAAGUCGUAACAAGGUUUCC